rfam:Otolemur garnettii contig050277, whole genome shotgun sequence.
UCCAGCAUCACAUACACUAAAAAUACUAAAAAUUGGAAUGGUACAGAGAAGAUUAGCAUGGCCUCUACAAAGAAUGACAUGUAAAUUAGUGAAGCAUUUCAUAUUAAA